rnacentral:rRNA from 1 species
UACGUAGGGUGCGAGCGUUGUCCGGAAUUAUUGGGCGUAAAGAGCUCGUAGGCGGUUUGUUGCGUCGGCCGUGAAAACCUGCAGCUUAACUGUGGGCCUGCGGCCGAUACGGGCAGACUUGAGUUCGGUAGGGGAGACUGGAAUUCCAGGUGUAGCGGUGAAAUGCGUAGAUAUCUGGAGGAACACCGGUGGCGAAGGCAACAUCCUGGACCAACACUGACGCUGAUGAGCGAAAUCCAGGGGAUCAAACAGG